GGUAGAAUGGCCGAGCGUUAGGCGGUGGUUUGUAGCUCCAUGGACAAAGGUUUAAAUCCUUUUUCUACCA
rnacentral:tRNA from 1 species